rnacentral:lncRNA from 1 species
AACGUCGCCCCGGUUUGACGCACACGGCACCAAACUUUCUGAAAGCUGGAAGUCUGAAACCGGUAUCACUGGGCAGAAAUGAAGGUGUCAGCAGUGAUGUUCUCUCUCCAGAGGCUCUAAGAGGAAAAUGUUCGUUGCCUCGUCCCAGUUCUGGUAGCUGCUGGCAUUCCUGGCUGUGGCUACAGUCUUCAAGGUUUGAUUUAAUUUCGAAUGAGAUUAUUCUUGCAGCGAGAUGUUAAUAAGACAAAAUCUAGGUAAGUAGAAAAUGACUGCUAAAUAUUACAUAUCAAAGUAAUGCAAGAGAGUAAUAAUAUAAAAAUGUGUGUUGUAAAAGUGUGCUUCCAAAUCCAAACGCAGUUUUGAAAUAAAAAUUUGCAAUUUUGAAGAGCCGACUUUUUGAUGGACUUGAUUUGAUGGAAGCAAAAGUACAGCUGUCAAACUGAAACUAAAUUCUUAGUUUCCCUGCUUAUAUGUUGCGAUUAACUUAAGUAUGCAGUUUCUAGUGACUGUUAAGCAUGUUAGAAGAUCCAGUUGGUAUUUGGUUUAGCCACUUGGAAACCAGUUGAGAGAAUUGCUAGGUUGCUUUGUUUCCUUCUUACUGGGUUAUAGUACUGGAGCAGUCUUUGCUCUUGUGAAUUGUACUUUCUUAUUUACGUUAACAAAGCACUUGCAAGAGUUCUCUGGUGGUACAGUGGGUUAAGGCGUUGUCACUGCUGUCGCUUGGUUUCAAUCCCUGGUCCAGGAAUUUCUGCAUGCUGCAGUGUGGCCAAAAAGAGAAACAAAAACAGGGAGUUCCCAUAGUGGCUCAGCAGUAAUGAACCCGACUAGUAUCCAUGAGGAUAUGGGUUCUAUCCCUGGCCUCACUCAGUGAGUUAAGGAUCCUGCAUUGCUGUGGCUGUGGUGUAGGCCAGCAGCUGCAGCUCUAAUUCGACCCCUAGCAUGGGAAUUUCCAGAUGCUUGCAGAUGCAGCCCUAAAAAGACAAAAAAGAAAAAAACAAAAAUGCAGCAAUUCUGCAGUUUUUAAAAUUUACCAAAAUGCGAUUCCUUUAUGUUAAUAUAAUGUUCAGAAUUGGAAGUGAUUAUUUUAAUAUUUUUUUGUAUUUCUACUGAGUGACUCUUCUAAUUUAAUAUUUUAAUUUGUUUUAGUUUUUUAAGACUGUUGCCUCUCAGAGAUUUGAAUUGUGAUGAUGUACUUUUAGACUGAUAUGUGAAAGAAUGCUUUUUAAUAAGUUGUUGAAGUGUUAAAAAGGUGCACUUUACUCUCUCUCGGUAAAUGAACAUGGCUUCAGGAUAUAAGCAGAUUAACAAGAAUGCUUUGAUCAAAUUGCAGCUAAGUUGGGUCUUUCUGUAAUCUAACUCAAUGUUCAGCUGUCAAAAAACUUGCUGAUCUCAAUGUUUAAAAAAAAAAAAAAA